rnacentral:rRNA from 1 species
UUGAUCCUGGCUCAGAAUCAACGCUGGCAGCGUGCCUAACGCGUGCAAGUCGAACGAGAAAGUGGAGCAAUCCAUGAGUAAAGUGGCGACCGGGUGAGUUACACGUGACCAAUCUACCCUUGAGUGGGGGAUAACCUCGGGAAACCGGGUCUAAUACCGCAUAAUAUCUCUGGAUCGGAAGAACUGGAGACCAAAGGAGUAAUUCGCUUAAGGAGGAGGUCGCGGCUGAUUAGCUAGUUGGCGGGGUAAUGGCCCACCAAGGCAAAGAUCGGUAGCCGGCCUGAGAGGGCGCACGGCCAUACUGGAACUGAAACACGGUCCAGACUCCUACGGGAGGCAGCAGUGGGGAUUUUUGCGCAAUGGGGGAAACCCUGACGCAGCAACGCCGCGUGGAGGAUGUAGUCCCUUGGGACGUAAACUCCUUUCGACCCGGACGAUAAUGACGGUACUGGUGGAAGAAGCCCCGGCUAACUUCGUGCCAGCAGCCGCGGUAAUAAGGU